AGUUCUGUGGCUUAGUUGCUUAAAGCGCCAGUCUAGCGAUUACGGAGUCAUGGGUUCGAAUCCUACCAGAACGC
rnacentral:tRNA from 1 species